UGUGGGAGCGAGCCUGCUCGCGAUAGCGGUAUGUCAGUCGACACUAUUAUUGACUGAUGCACCGCAAUCGCGAGCAGGCUCGCUCCCACA
rnacentral:misc_RNA from 1 species